rnacentral:tRNA from 1 species
UUUUUUUUUAGUAUAAUAAGUAUAUUUGGCUUCCAACCAAACGGUCUAAAUAAUUUAGAAAAAAAAA